rnacentral:rRNA from 1 species
GCAUAUCAAUAAGCGGAGGAAAAGAAACCAACAGGGAUUGCCCCAGUAACGGCGAGUGAAGCGGCAACAGCUCAAAUUUGAAAUCUGGCCCYUAGGGCCCGAGUUGUAAUUUGCAGAGGAUGCUUUUGGCGAGGUGCCUUCCGAGUUCCCUGGAACGGGACGCCAUAGAGGGUGAGAGCCCCGUCUGGUUGGAUGCCGAGCCUCUGUAAAGCUCCUUCGACGAGUCGAGUAGUUUGGGAAUGCUGCUCUAAAUGGGAGGUAUAUGUCUUCUAAAGCUAAAUACCGGCCAGAGACCGAUAGCGCACAAGUAGAGUGAUCGAAAGAUGAAAAGCACUUUGAAAAGAGGGUUAAAUAGUACGUGAAAUUGUUGAAAGGGAAGCGCUUAUGACCAGACUUGGACCCGGUGAAUCAUCCAGCGUUCUCGCUGGUGCACUUUGCCGGGCUCAGGCCAGCAUCAGUUUGCCUUGGGGGAUAAAGGCUUUGGGAAUGUGGCUCCCUCGGGAGUGUUAUAGCCCAUUGCACAAUACCCUGGGGCGGACUGAGGUUCGCGCAUCUGCAAGGAUGCUGGCGUAAUGGUCAUCAGCGACCCGUCUUGAAACACGGACCAAGGAGUCGUCUUCGUAUGCGAGUGUUCGGGUGUAAAACCCCUACGCGUAAUGAAAGUGAACGCAGGUGAGAGCUUCGGCGCAUCAUCGACCGAUCCUGAUGUUCUCGGAUGGAUUUGAGUAAGAGCAUACGGGGCCGGACCCGAAAGAAGGUGAACUAUGCCUGUAUAGGGUGAAGCCAGAGGAAACUCUGGUGGAGGCUCGCAGCGGUUCUGACGUGCAAAUCGAUCGUCAAAUAUGGGCAUGGGGGCGAAAGACUAAUCGAACCUUCUAGUAGCUGGUUUCCGCCGA